rnacentral:lncRNA from 1 species
AGCGCGCGAGGUGAGACGGCGAGGGCUCCCGGGGCGCAGGUAGAGAUGUUCCGUCGGUGCCGAAGGCCCGGCUAGUGCGGUUGUGUGGACGGCGAAAAAAACCAGGCCAGGCGUCAAAGCAAGUCACCCAUCCGACCUAAACCCCUCUAAGACCCCGGAGUCACGUCUCCCUCCGGGGAUCCUCGUGAGGUCUUGGGGGUCCCACCGCCCUGCGAGCCGCGCCCGCGCCCCGCCAGACCCGGAACUGCGUCGCUAGGCCGGGAGAGGGAGGCGGCGCCGCAGAGCCUCGGGUGCAGUCUGAGAAGUUUGGGAGUGACUUGAAGAGUGACUGGAAGCACCCCAGACCCGAACGUCGGGACCUGGUUCCCUCUUUAAUCACACCCCCGGGGGCGCUUCGUGUGAGGUUCCACGGGGGAAGGCGAGAGGCGCAGGCUGCCACACACGCACUGUUUGGAAGAGGGGAAGCAUUGCCCCCCCUGCACCACCUCACCAAGAUGGCUACUUUGGGACACACAUUCCCCUUCUAUGCUGG